CGUUUUAAACUACUAAUCAUCAGCUAAAGGCGGGAAGACGCAGUUAACGUGAAGAAAUAUAUCCACGUUAUCGCGUGGUACAUGAAGGUAUACCUACCGUUGCUGACCUGCCCGAGUCUGUCACUGGGCGACAUCAGCUACUCGCCAGCUCCUUCACAACGGUAGCUUCGGAACCUAAACGAGGUUUACGUGAAACUAAACCUGGCCUUUAGAUCACGUGCUAAGCGUGACAGACACCGAUGUGGGUGUUCCUGCCGGCGGCGGUGAGAGGUAUCUUGACGGGCGACUCUCCGAUGACAAUGUUCUUGAUGCAGCCGGUGAAGCCGCGACGAGAGCGAACUCCGCGCACCCGGUGUAAUGGCUUUUCGUGCCCGCCGAUGUACAGAGACGACCGAGUGUCGGUGGAAGCGUACGCGCCCAGACCCGGCUUAAAGAA